rnacentral:lncRNA from 1 species
CCACUUUUAACCUUUGUUUAUUUUAACCCACUGACACUGGUUUUACUCUUCAUUCUCAAACAUGAAAAAACAGAUAGAUGUUUUCUUUCUCUUAACAGAAUUGUGAAAAAUCAGGUGAGCUGCUGUUAUGUGAGGCUCAGUGCUGCGGGGCUUUCCACCUGGAGUGCCUUGGAUUGACUGAGAUGCCAAGAGGGAAAUUUAUCUGCAAUGAAUGUCACACACAGGUUUUUAUCGGCGCUUCUCUGUGGAGGAGGCGGUGCGCACGGCUUCAGCGCCGAAUGCUGCACCUUCCACUGGACGGCGACGAAGGCGGUUGCCGUGCCAGCGCAGGACUGGGCGGCCUGUGUGGGAGUGUGAGCUGCGGUGCCCCGGGCAGCGCUCCAGAGGGGAAGCCGCGCGGCAGGCUGGAGCUACUCGGCCAGGGUUUCAGACUUUAAAUGAGAAUAAAGGGUGGUAUUUACGAGGAAAUGAGAGUGAAUAA